CAGUAGCCGCGGGAAAACGAGGGGGGCAAGCGUUGUUCGGAAUGACUGGGCGUAAAGGGCGCGUAGGCGGUUCGUACAGUCGGAUGUGAAAUUCCUGGGCUUAACCUGGGGACUGCAUUCGAUACGUGCGGGCUUGAGUGUGGAAGAGGGUUGUGGAAUUCCCAGUGUAGAGGUGAAAUUCGUAGAUAUUGGGAAGAACACCGGUGGCGAAGGCAGCCCCCUGGGCCAAUACUGACGCUCGCGCACGAAAGCGUGGGGAGCAAACAGGAUUAGAUACCCCAGUAGUCCCUGUCUCUUAUAC
rnacentral:rRNA from 1 species